rnacentral:rRNA from 1 species
CCUACGGGAGGCAGCAGUGAGGAAUAUUGGACAAUGGAGGCAACUCUGAUCCAGCCAUGCCGCGUGCAGGAAGACUGCCCUAUGGGUUGUAAACUGCUUUUAUACAGGAAGAAACCUACUUACGUGUAAACAGCUGACGGUACUGUAAGAAUAAGGAUCGGCUAACUCCGUGCCAGCAGCCGCGGUAAUA